GGGGUUGUGGAUCAGUGGUAGAGUGCUUGCCUAACAUGCAUGAGGCACGGGGUUCGACCCCCAGCCCUA
rnacentral:tRNA from 1 species